rnacentral:rRNA from 1 species
AUUGUAGGCUGAAACUCGCCUACAUGAAGCUGGAGUUGCUAGUAAUCGCGAAUCAGCAUGUCGCGGUGAAUACGUUCCCGGGCCUUGUACACACCGCCCGUCACACCAUGAGAGUUGGCAAUACCCAACGUACGUGAUCUAACCCGCAAGGGAGGAAGCGUCCUAAGGUAGGGUCAGCGAUUGGGGUGAAGUCGUAACAAGGUAAC